GGCCCCAUUGUGUAAUGGUUAGCACUCUAGACUCUGAAUCCAGCAAUCUGAGUUCAUGUCUUGGUGGGACCU
rnacentral:tRNA from 1 species